rnacentral:lncRNA from 1 species
CAAAUUCCUAAGAAAGGCACUCAGCACUGCAGUCUAGGGCAAGCUGCCUUGUCCCACAUAGAGCUGCCUGCGAUACCUUUGCAUCACCCUGCUCUUCCUGUCACUCCUGGUUAUUAUUAGACACUGCAUUCUCACGUGCUGGGAGCAGACACAGCAGGGCUGGGGUGGUGGUGGGAGGAGGAUGUUCAGGGAAUGGUCCUUUUUAACCCUGCAGGCUUCCUGGUGGCCCCUCACAGGCUGUAGGAUUGGAAUUAGGAUGGCUGCAUUCCGUAUUCCUUUGUUUCCUAAAGGGAAAGCAUGCUUGGGUAUUUCUUUCAGCACAAAACUGGAAACUGCUAGAACUGUACAUGGCAUUACGGAACACGCUUCAGGCUCCUCAAUCAACAGAACAGUCAAAGCGAAGAGUGUAAAAGCAGAGAGAUGGCCACGAUUUUGGUAAAGUUGCAACAGGUUUUAAGUACUAGAAGGCUACAACGAGGCUCCCUGGAGCCUUUUCUUCUCCAGGCUGAACAAGUCCAUCUCCCUCAGCCUGUCUUUGUAAAAGAGGUGCUCCAGCCUUCAGAUCAUCUCCAUGGCCCUCCUCUGGAUCCACUCCAACAGUCCUAUGACUUUCUCGUGCUGGCAGCCUCAAGCCUGGAUGCAGUACUGUAGAUGGAACCUCAGGAGGUCAGCGUAGAGGGGACAAUCACCUCCCUCUCCCUGCUGGCCUCCCUCUGUUAAUGCAGCCCAGGAUACUGUUGGCCUUCUGAGCUGCAAAAGCACACUAUUGGCUCACAUUCUACUUUCUGUCUAUCAGGACAGCCAAGCCCUUCCCCACAGGGCUGUUCUCAAUGAGUUCAUCUCCGAGCCCGUUCUCACAUUUAGGAUUGCCCUGCCCAAGUAACACACGCUGCCCUUUGCCUUGUUGAACCUCAUUAGGUUCUCAUAUGCCCACUUUUCAAGUAUGUCCAGGUCCCUCUGGUUGGUGUCCCUCCCUUCUAUUGUGGCAACUGCACCACUCAGCUUGGUGUCAGCAGCACACUUGCUGGGGAUGCACUUUAUCC